rnacentral:misc_RNA from 1 species
UUUCCGUAGGUGAACCUGCGGAGGGAUCAUUAUUGUAUAACCAAGGUGCGAGGCUUUCGCUGACGCUAACGGUCUUGCACGCCCGAGGGCCCACACACACAGCCAGCUCACCCCUAGGUGCACCACCGCGGGGGUCCGCAUUAGGCAAGUUCGGUGGGGAGCUUACGUGUGCACGUAAACCUUAUACGCAGUGGAGAAUGUAUUUUUUGUUUUUGAGAUUUCGCAAUCAAUACAACUGUCAACAACGGAGCUCUUGGCUGUCGAAGCGAUGAAGAACGC